AUUAAGAGUAUGAAACCAUAUGGGUUACACUUCUCAUUUUCCUUUUUAUCUAGCAAAUAUGCUAUACGUGUAGCAUGUAUACUGUCAAAACUACAGACGGAAAAACUGCAGGCACAUGGAAUAUCGACCUACUUUUAGAAAUGUAAUGACAAACAGUUAUUUGUUUUUUGCAGGAAUAUGUCACUGAUGAUCUUCAAAUCAAACUUAAAGCAUUCCUCUCUGGUCUGAUAAGCCAAUAUAUUGGGAUGUUCUUCAUCUUCUCUGUCAAAUGGAUUUUCACCUUUGGUCAUCAAUCUUCUGUGAUGAGCCUCAUCCCGUGGAAAAGGAAGCUAAAGACAUUUGUAUAUACCAGUUUCUGUCCCAGAUUUGGUGUUCCUUAUUGGAUAAAAGGUUGUAUGUUUCCAAGCAUCGUAUGCGUUCCUCAAACUCCUCCUUGCAAAAGGCUGAUGUCAGAUGCAUCUUUUCACAUGUGGAAAGCGGAUUCAGAGGAGGACACAGAUGAAGAUCUCUGGACUUUUGAGCAGUUACCAGGUUACUGAUCAUCAUGUCGAUAAAAGACUGUCACAUAAAUUUGGACCCAUUGAGGAUUUUGUCACUCUCAAAUAUCCUCAGAACUACACAAGCUGGAAAUAAGUAAUUGAAUCUUUAUCUAGUAUGGAGUAAGUAAUACAGCAGCUUUCUAGUUAAUGCCACUGUGGCAAAGGCUAUUAAUAAUGAAUGAGCUACCAUAACUGAUAAGAAUUGUC
rnacentral:lncRNA from 1 species